ACAAAUAACCAAUUUCAACAUAACAAUUUGUGGCCCUUUUCGUCCACACCAAUCAAUAAAAUGUUAAGCAUUCUGAAACGACCAGAAAGAGGAACCAAAUAUAAGCAAGAAUUCUAAGAGUAACCAGAAACGUACCCUGAAAGAACCAGCCUUUAAGAGGUGUUCCUCAGCUUCAAGUGAGAUUGAUUCUCUUUCUAAAAAAUCCACCCAAGACCAGUGAUCACGAUAUUUUUUUCUUCUUACCAAGGCAAACCAAAGAAAUCUUUUUUUUCUUUUCCUCAAGAUCAUUUUUCCUUUCCCGUUCUCUCUGUUUUUGUUUAAAAAACCUUUCCCA
rnacentral:lncRNA from 1 species